rnacentral:rRNA from 1 species
AUUGCCUCAGUAACGGCGAGUGAAGCGGCAACAGCUCAAAUUUGAAAUCUGGCUCCUUCGGGGUCCGAGUUGUAAUUUGUAGAAGAUGCUUUGGGUGUGGCCCUGGUCUAAGUUCCUUGGAACAGGACGUCAUAGAGGGUGAGAAUCCCGUAUGUGACUGGGUGCCCACGCCCGUGUAAAGCUCUUUCGACGAGUCGAGUUGUUUGGGAAUGCAGCUCAAAAUGGGUGGUAAAUUUCAUCUAAAGCUAAAUAUUGGCCAGAGACCGAUAGCGCACAAGUAGAGUGAUCGAAAGAUGAAAAGCACUUUGGAAAGAGAGUUAAACAGUACGUGAAAUUGUUGAAAGGGAAGCGCUUGCAAUCAGACUUGCGCGCCGCUGAUCAUCCCGGGUUCUCCCAGGUGCACUCGGCGGCGCUCAGGCCAGCAUCGGUUCGGGUGGUGGGACAAAGGCCUUGGGAAUGUAGCUCCUCUCGGGGAGUGUUAUAGCCCUCGGUGCCAUGCCACCUACCUGGACCGAGGACCGCGCUUCGGCUAGGAUGCUGGCGUAAUGGUUGUAAGCGACCCGUCUUGAAACACGGACCAAGGAGUCUAACAUCUAUGCGAGUGUUUGGGUGCUAAACCCAUACGCGUAAUGAAAGUGAACGUUGGUAAGAACCCUUUAGGGUGCAUUAUCGACCGAUCCUGAUGUCUUCGGACGGAUUUGAGUAUGAGCAUAGCUGUUGGGACCCGAAAGAUGGUGAACUAUGCCUGAAUAGGGUGAAGCCAGAGGAAACUCUGGUGGAGGCUCGCAGCGGUUCUGACGUGCAAAUCGAUCGUCAAAUUUGGGUAUAGGGGCGAAAGACUAAUCGAACCAUUGGGUGGCUACUAGGUGGUUGAGAGGCGCGCUAAGCCGCGCCUAGUCCUGAUCACAGGGCAACGCUAUCAAAAUGUCGGGGACGUCCUGCUAGGCGACACUACCGCAGCCGUGCCGAAAGGUACGGCGCGCACCGGGCUAACGACCCUGGGGAUGGUAACAACGUGUCGAUAGGGAUAAUCCGCAGCCAAAUCCUACGGGCGACCGCCUACGGAUGCAGUUCACAGACUAGAUGUUAGUGGGCCCCAGACCAGCGCGUCGGGGUUUAAGUUAUAGUCGGACCCCCCGGAGACGGGGGUGGGGAGGAGGAGCGCGCGCCGGGUUGAUCCCAGGCCCUCGGGCCUGGCGGCGUGCGGGAGAGCCCCCCCAGGGACCACGGUCCC